rnacentral:lncRNA from 1 species
UUUGCAUCUCUCAUGCAGCACUGGGUUCUUGGCAAGAUUGAUUGCAGACUUGUUAUCAACCAUCAACUUCAGAGACUUGUUUACCUUGAUUUUCAAAUCCUGCAGUAAAUUCAGAAGUCAAACAACUUGACACGCAUGCAGCCACAUCACCUACAAUAUAUUCUACUUCACAGGUUGACAAAGCAACUUGGUUGCUUCUUGGAACAUCAAGAAAUAUGACUUUCCAGAAACUUAAACAAGUAUUGAGAAGCAUUUCUCCUGUCAACUCUCUCUCCACACCAA